rnacentral:rRNA from 1 species
GGCGCACGGGUGCGUAACACGUGAGAAAUUUGUCCAUCGGCGGGGGAUAGCCGGCCCAACGGCCGGGUAAUACCGCGUACGACCUUCGGGGGGCAUCCCCUGGAGGUGAAAGCCGCAAGGCGCCGAUGGAGAAUCUCGCGGCCUAUCAGCUAGUUGGUGGGGUAAUGGCCUACCAAGGCAACGACGGGUAGCUGGUCCGAGAGGAUGACCAGCCACAUUGGGACUGAGACACGGCCCAGACUCCUACGGGAGGCAGCAGUGGGGAAUAUUGCGCAAUGGGCGAAAGCCUGACGCAGCGACGCCGCGUGUGGGAUGAAGGUCUUCGGAUCGUAAACCACUGUCGGGGGGGACGAACUCAAUGACGGUACCCCCAAAGGAAGCACCGGCUAACUCUGUGCCAGCAGCCGCGGUAAUACAGAGGGUGCAAGCGUUGUCCGGAAUCACUGGGCGUAAAGGGCGCGUAGGCGGCCCGAUAAGUAGGGGGUGAAAUCUUGCGGCUCA